ACGCAUGAAAGGAGGUGAUCCGGAAGUGAUUUCUUACCGGACCAGCGAGGUGACUGCGGGCUGAGGCCUGCCGUCGCACUCUGUGCACCUCGGCAGGCCAGUCUGCCGAAGACCAACGCAGUCACCCGACCCGUGAGCCGCCGGUGAGUCCGGCCGGCUUCCGUCCGACCCAGGCGCCUGGGCGGACGGGACCAAGGCUCACGGGUCGUCUGCG
rnacentral:sRNA from 1 species